GACGAACGCUGGCGGCGUGCUUAACACAUGCAAGUCGAACGGAAAGGCCCUUCGGGGUACUCGAGUGGCGAACGGGUGAGUAACACGUGGGUGAUCUGCCCUGCACUUUGGGAUAAGCCUGGGAAACUGGGUCUAAUACCGAAUAGGACCACGCGCUUCAUGGUGUGUGGUGGAAAGCUUUUGCGGUGUGGGAUGGGCCCGCGGCCUAUCAGCUUGUUGGUGGGGUAAUGGCCUACCAAGGCGACGACGGGUAGCCGGCCUGAGAGGGUGACCGGUCACACUGGGACUGAGAUACGGCCCAGACUCCUACGGGAGGCAGCAGUGGGGAAUAUUGCACAAUGGGCGCAAGCCUGAUGCAGCGACGCCGCGUGAGGGAUGACGGCCUUCGGGUUGUAAACCUCUUUCAAUAGGGACGAAGCGCAAGUGACGGUACCUAUAGAAGAAGCACCGGCCAACUACGUG
rnacentral:rRNA from 1 species